AUACGGAGGAUGCGAGCGUUAUCCGGAUUUAUUGGGUUUAAAGGGUGCGUAGGCGGACGAUUAAGUCAGCGGUGAAAGCGUGUGGCUCAACCAUACCACUGCCGUUGAUACUGGUUGUCUUGAGUGUAAACGAGGUAGGCGGAAUGUGAUGUGUAGCGGUGAAAUGCUUAGAUAUGUCACAGAACCCCGAUUGCGAAGGCAGCUUACCAGGAUACAACUGACGCUGAGGCACGAAAGCGUGGGUAUC
rnacentral:rRNA from 1 species